rnacentral:tmRNA from 1 species
GGGGACGUCAAUAUUCGCUUGAAAAUCGUUCAAUCUCAACUGCUGACUAAGCCGGGCAACUUGUUAAAAUGCCCACACAUACAAGUGUCAAAAAUAUAUUCGGCGCCGUGCGGGAAAAAGUUUUGGCUUUGGCCAAUUCUUUGACUCCAAACUUCGCCGCCGUAACAGCUUAAAUCCUGUUACCGCCUGACUCGCAAAACCUGUGCGCGAGAAGCAGGUGUCAUUUAUUCGGGUUAGGUUAACUUCACGUUUGGGGUGGUUAUCCGAAACAAUUUCCAAACUACAAAUUCGGGUGUCUUGCUUGUUUCUUAACCCGAAUCCGAGCCCCCUGAAACAAGCUAUGCCAGUAAACAGUUGUUAUUAACUAUUCAAGACGCGGGUGCGAUUCCCGCCGUCUCCACCA